GGGUUGGGGUUUUCCUCUCCUUGCUGCUAUAAAAUACCUUCACAUAUUGUACACAUUCAUUCUUUCUUGUCUUCUUGGUAGAACGCUAAGCUACAGUGACCAGUAGUCUUCCAGACCUCAGGAUUCUAUUCUUCAGCUUUUUAGAAUGAGAUGCGUUUUUGUUCCAAACUGAUGAUUUCAACUGAUGCUCUCCUGAUGCAUGGCAGACGGCGGUGCCUGUGUCUCUGAGAACACCAUGUGAAUCCCCGUGCCUGAGAACACCAUGUGAAUCUCUGUGCCUGAGAACGCAUGUGAAUCCCAGGAACAUCCUCCAACACACCAUUCAUCAGAGAAGCCCUAUCUGUGACAACAUGUUUGUGCUAAACAAGAGCAAGGGUACCACACUCAGAUACACAUAACAGCAGCGCCAUCUAUUGGCUUGACGACAUCUCAGUGGUGAGUUUAAGGAAGACCAAUACCACCAAGAACACUCUGCCUGAAUCUAGACUCUGAAAUGGGCAAGAAGAUACAGACUGAGUGGGUCCAGAAGAACUGACCCAAACAUGAUAUGUAAACCAUGUUUUAUAGUUCCUCUUCUUCUUCUUCUUCUGAGAAACUGUGUGACCUAUCUGGCCUGGGGCAAGUUAAGGUGCUCUAUGGGCUCUAAAUUAAAAUGUUUCAUUGGUAGGACUGGUGCUUCCAACUUAAAAAAGUGAGGAGGACAAAAUAAAAUCUAGGAGAACGAGAAAAUAUUAUUUUUCUUUCAAUUCGAUUGAGAUACAGCCUAUAAUGGGGCUAUGGGAUGGGGCUAUAGGAUGGGGCUAUAGGAUGGGGCUAUAGGAUGGGGCUGUAGGAUGGGGCUAUGGGAUGGGGCUAUAUGUUGUGCCCUAGGGACUAAUAGGUACCCAUGUACAUACAUUCGUUUUUUUUAAAUAAAAAGCUAAAAUGUUGAUACAAAUACAUGUCAUUGACAUUUCAAAGUCAUUUGUGGAAUGUUAGAUUUCUACAUAGUUAGGGCUCUAAAAAAUCUGUUUCCUUUUUUGCCUAAUUCAGUUUUUUUUGUUUUUUUGUUGCCAAAUUCUGUUUUCUCAGUUUUGU